rnacentral:lncRNA from 1 species
GUGUGACAUCUUUCUGAACUCCCUCGACCGUCCGAACUUCCAUAAUACCAUCCAGACUUCUUCGACAGUGAGCUUCUCCAUUCAUCUAUCAGGCCACUCCAAAUGCUCUCUGGGCUUCACUAUCAGCCGAUUUUCUACAGUGAUCAACUAUUCUCCGAAUCUCUUCCAGACUUCUUCCGACCACAGAUGACUCUACUCCAAACUUCUUCCAGACUUCGUCAAUAUCC